CCCCUCCCUCCCCAGCCUUCCCCGGGAGCGGACGCGCCAGCGCCUCUGCCUCGCUUUUUCUUAUUUUCUCCCCCUUUCCCCUUCCUUUUCUUUUCUUUUUUCCCCUUCCCCCCUUCCACCAUUUCCCCUCGGAGGCGCUUCCCCCGGGCAGGGGCAGAGCCGGCCUCACCCCGAGCCUCUCCCCGGCCCCCGCCGCCCUAUGGCGACAGGGAGCCCCCUCCUCACCUGGGCACCAGCGGCGGCGGUCGGAGGAGCGGGACUGGCGGCGGCGGCGGCGGCCUCGGGCCAGGGUCAUCAUGGAACUAGUUCGCUGACUGACCCCCGGCCGCAGCCGUGCGUCCCGCCCGAGCGCCCGCGCCCCGCCGGCCCGGUAGGCCCCCUUUGCCCUCCUCAGUCGGCCCGGCCAUCGGCCCGCGCGCCCCACCGCCGCGCGCCGAGCAGCAUGAGGUGGUAAAGGGCCCGCGGAUGACCCCGCGCCACCACUGUGAAGCCUACAGCUCUGCGGGGGAGGAGGAGGAGGAGGAAGAGGAGGAGAAGGUAGCUACAUCAAGCUGGGUGUCAGGCAAAUCCAAAGGAUAUCAUGAAGCUUCUAGGACCUUUGGAAAACCAGAGAUUGUCUUUCCUAUUGGAAAAGGCAAUCUCUAGGGAAGCCCAGAUGUGGAAG